rnacentral:rRNA from 1 species
UACGUAGGGGGCAAGCGUUGUCCGGAAUCAUUGGGCGUAAAGAGCGUGUAGGCGGCUUGGUAAGUCCGCUGUGAAAGUCCAGGGCUCAACCCUGGAAUGCCGGUGGAAACUGUCAAGCUUGAGUCCGGAAGAGGCGAGUGGAAUUCCUGGUGUAGCGGUGAAAUGCGUAGAGAUCCGGAGGAACACCGACGGCGAAGGCAGCGCCCUGGACGACACCUGACGCUCAGGCACGAAAGCUGGGGGAGCAAACAGG